AAGACUAUAGACCUGCGGAGUACCUGCGGAGGGAUCAUUACUGAGUACCGGGUCUCUCAGGCCCUUACUCCCACCCUUUGUGUACCUCAACCUUUCUUCAGUUGCCUUGGUGGGCUAUCCUCUUCGGGGGACCCACCAGGGGGACUUUCCAAAACCCUUGAUAACAGAGUUGUCUGAGAACAAAUUCAAAUGAAUUAAAACUUUCAACAACGGAUCUCU
rnacentral:misc_RNA from 1 species